rnacentral:rRNA from 1 species
CUCCUACGGGAGGCAGCAGUAAGGAAUAUUGGACAAUGGCCGCAAGGCUGAUCCAGCCAUGCCGCGUGCAGGAUGAAGGUGCUCUGCAUUGUGAACUGCUUUUGUUCGGGAAUAAACCCUUUCACGUGUGAGAGGUUGAAUGUACCGAAAGAAUAAGGGACGGCUAACUUCGUGCCAGCGCCGCGGUAA